CGACACACAAAUUAUUCAAUAAAAUAUUAGUGGACAACAAUUACAUGAAAACGAACAAUUGGCUUAACACAAAAAAAUCUUGAAUAAACCCGUGUGAUGGUGAUUGCUCUACUUACUUGGAAGUACUUAGUAAGGGCCUUAGACUUUCCUGCCCGCUUGAAGUGCCUUUUGGGUCAAUUACAUAGCUCACCUGCAAAAUAAGAUGUCAAAUAUACUAUCACAUAACCAUCCCAAAGGAUAAACCAGGAUCACCAAACACACAAUACUACCACAGAUCUCACUGCACAUGUGGAAGAAGACAUGACCAAAGCAGUAUCACUCUUCCUUCAAUGCCACGCAAAAUGUCACUUAUUUGUUCUGAACUAUCUAUUCCAGUGAUCUUGCAGGAGCUGCAAAAAGAUCGAUCACAAACAGUUAAAACAUUUGUUUGAAAGGAAAUUAGGAUAAGCUUCCUAGUGCUCAAGCCAUUGCAGUAACAAUGAAUGCAAUGAGAAACCUAAGAAAAAUUGGGUGGACUUGUUUAGAACCAGAGAGUAGUAGCACAAACAUCAUCCCAAUUAUAAAAACAGUUAUCCGUCACGAACAGUGAAACAUUUGUUGGUAAGGAAAGCAGGAUAAGCUUCCUAGUGCUGAAGCCAUUGCAGUAACAAUGAAUGCAAUGAGAAAUUCUAAGAAAAAACGGUUAUUGUUAUUUUUAUGCCAUUUUGUAUUUAUAAUUAGUUGGAUGAAUCACAUACAUAGAAACGUACCUAAUAAGCCUAGCUUUGGCUGCAGCACAGUCAGCCCCUCCAUCCUUCUUAUCAACGUCAUUAACAAAAAGCUUCUUUGUAGGCCUCCUUGUAGGUGAUGUGCACGACCUAAAACCAAUUGGUUAUACUCAAGGUACACAAACAAGCAAGUGAUAUGAAUCAGAAAUAAUCGAAGAAAUGAAGUGUUUGUUGAUUUAACCUUUUCUUUGUAGCACUUUGCUAGGUCUAAAGCAUUGGAUAAUUUAUUACUGGUGAAUCCGCGGGAGGAACCAGCUCACUCGUAAGUUUGCUUUUGCUGGCUGCAACUGGUGCCUGUGAUUUUGAACAUAUGUUUGAGACAAUAGUAAAUUCAACAGAAAAAAGAAGCAUUUUAGUUCUUCGCUAAUGGGUGCAAAAAUUAGCUGAUCUUAUCAACAUCAAUGUUUCUAUUGCUCUCUGGCGUAGUUGGCAUCCUAGCAUCAAGUAUUACUGGCACAGAAUGUGAUGUGGCUGAUGCAUGAGUAGCAUCUAAUCCUGUUGAUGGAGAAGUCAAAGGCAAGCAGGAAUCUCUGGUUGUGGCUGAUGUAUCGCUAUGCCAUCGAUGACAAAGAAAUUCAUACACUCGAGCAUCUGAGUAUUUUAUGUUCUCUAGCUAUUCCAUGCAUGGGUGACCACAUCAACAUUGUAUAGGCCAUACUGCAUAUGUCCUUUCCUUUCCUACUUAGAAAAAGAAUAUGGGUCUAAUUACUUGGUGCCUGCCCACUAAUACUUACUAAUAGCCUGUGACCCAAACCUAGUACCAACAAAUACCUCCUUUCAACAGAAAAGUUUGGAUCCUACACUAUUUUCUCAUGCAUCUAGCUUAUGCCCGACAUAGUACUCUUAAAGUCACAACUUAUGCCAAAAGGGCAUCUCUGCGGCUCUUUUAGUGUGUGAGUAGGCAAGCUCUAGGUAGGUCUUUGUUUCCUUUGUUGUCCUUUCUUUUUUUUCAUGUAGGUGAUUCUGGUACGCAGGUAUUUACUAAAGCUGUAAUAGCAGCUCCAAACAAAAUUAGUACAAGCACAACAUAUUACAUGGUACAAAGUAGAAUUAAUGUCUAUAAUUUAGAGAAAUUUACAGUGUGCAUAUAGACUUUUAUUUUUAAGCUAAAUUAGUGGAGGCUCAAAGAGGCAGAAAACAAAGUUGUAUGAAUCUAAGAUGAACCUAGGAUGUAGAAGGAACCAAAGGAAUCCGAGAAUAAAAUGAUGAAACAGUGUGUAUAUGUAUAUAGUAUAGGUUAUGAGCAGGUUUAUGUCUAUCUGUUUGUUGUAGGAUCCUAGUGCACAUUGAUAACCACAGUUUUAGAAAGAUUCACGAUGUCUCCAGAUUAGCUGGUGGCGCCUCUUGAUCUUGCUACAACGCCUUCCUGUCCCGUGUCUCCUCCAUGUGAUAGGUCUGGAGGUGUUGAGGACACUGGUCUCAUCUCACUGCUUCUGGGGCUGCAACAACGAAAGGAGUGGCAAAAACCCAAAUGCCUUGACGCCUUUGCAUAUGAAUCAAAUUACCUGUCAAGGCAAUAUGUGCUUGUAGUGAUGUGGUGAAUCAAAUUACCUAACCGGCCACUGCCAAUUCUUGUCACUUUGUCUUCUCUGUUUUUGAAGUUCUUGUUUUAGUAGGCUCUAUGGUUUGACGUAUCUCAGAAUUUUCAUGUAAUUUUCUCCUUUUUUAAUCAUUUCUUUUGGGCAUAAAUUUCCAUGGUCCUCAACGCAGCAGAACCAUCCCUGCCAAAUCAUAUCAUUCUUUUUCUCCUGUGAAUGAAUCGACACCUCUAUGGGUUCUCUCUCCAACACUAGUGAUAAGCAAUCUUCAGCAGGUAUAUAGCAAUGUGUUUCUGCACAACUGCAGAGUUCGAAGGGCCAUUUUCAAUUGGGUGCUUGGCAUUCUCAUGAAACAUAUGAUUUUGCACAGCAUUGACUCCAUCCUGAACGACACUGUCCUAAGGUUGUGUCUGAACAGCAUCUUGCAAUCCACUGCGGCCUAAAACUUCAACUUUGACUGAAAAAUAAUUGUGAUAAAAUGGAGAAGACUGAUGGAUGACGUAAACAAGAAAGUGCUUCGCGUAUUUUGAAUUGCUACACCAGAACCGAUGGAAUUAAUACUCCCAACCUCAGCUAAAGCAUAUCAUCAUCACAGUCUAAGCAAAACCCCAAAGACUGAUAAAGAAAUCGACGGUUGCAAAUAUGAAUAACAUGUCCUAAUCCUUGGUCGAGGUCGUGAAGAAACAGGAGAUGAAGAGAAGGGAAACUAACCUAACCUGCUGCUAGACGCUCGCUCCCAAGCCUGGCAAGAGCAGGUUCAGCCUCGAGGACACCUUUCCUUGCCGCUCGAUGGAG
rnacentral:lncRNA from 1 species